GAAUUGAGUUUUUACAGCAGGCAGACGCCUUCUUGGGAUUACUAUGAAGUAGUUACCUGUCAACAAAUUAAGCAGCCACUUUUCGACAAUUUGGACUAUUUUCGCGCAUAAAGGGCAACAUGCAUUGACACCAGACUUGAGAUUUAACGGAGAGAUGUUACAGAUUUUUAGACCGAAGAGGACUUCAUCAUUGUAUUGUUGACUCACUAGCUCGGUAGCUAGCUAAGUUAGCUACAGAGUUUAUUCAAUUUAACGGCAGCUAGUUUAGCUCCGCUAGCUCCCUGUUCAGUUAUUUCUAUAUCUAACGUACCAGCCACCGAAACAGUCGUUUAGACAGAUUGGUGCCUCCAUAAGUUCCUGCCAUGGCUGACAGCAGCAUACUGACUUUAGGGACAGCCCGGAGUCUGUUGGUGGAUUCUUCAAUCUGUGAUUCGAGGAUCGCCGAAACCACCAAGGACCAUCUAUUUCUGGGCAUGGCAUGUGAAGAUGGGGAAGAUAUGCUGCCAAAAGUGGAGACGAGGGUUGUUCUUGUGGGAGAAGCAGGCAGAAAUGGAGCGCUGGUCAAAGCAUUGCAGGCCAUCAGAGUAAUGGAGGUACCGGUGGUAAAGAUAAGAGAAGGCGAGGCGGGUGCCAAGGAGAAAAUGAUGAUAAAAUCUAUAGUCAAUAUGGACAUCAACACCCCAUGCAUAAUGACGGACAACGUCCAGGAGUUUGGAGAUGGAGAGAACACUGAUUUCGAGACGGUGUUCGUCCUCAUAGACUUUGAUUCUCCCGACUACAGCUACCUCUACAAACGUGAUAACCGCAUUGUUGGGCCUCCUGUUGUGCUGGGCUGUGCUGCAAAGGAGGAACCUCUACAGUUUUCAUGUCGUCCUCUCUACUCCACCACGAUGCUGAACCUGUCCUUGUGUUUCACCGGCUUCAGGAACAAAGAGGAAAUUAAGAACUUGGUGAAUUUGGUUCAUCACAUGGGUGGGGCCAUUCGGAAAGACUUCAGCACCAAGGUUACUCAUCUCAUAGCCUGCUCCACUCACGGAGAGAAAUACAGGUUGGCAGUGUGCAUGGGGACGCCGAUUCUCACUCCAUCAUGGAUUCAUACGGCCUGGGAGAGAAGGGAAGACGUGCACUUUCAUGCAGGGGAAGAGGAGUUUCGAACGGAGUUCAAAGUGCCUCCGUUCCAGGACUGCACCCUGAGUUUCUUGGGUUUCUCAGAUGAAGAGAAGGCCAACAUGGAGGAGAGGACUCUCAAACAUGGUGGCAGUUAUCUUGAGGUUGGAGAUGACCGGAGUACACACAUGGUGGUGGAGGAAAACUCUGUGAAGGAGCUGCCAUGUUCUCCCUCCAGGAAACUCUUUGUGGUCAAGCAGGAGUGGUUCUGGGGAAGCAUUCAGAUGGACGCUCGGGCCGGAGAGUCCAUGUACCUCUACGAGAAGAAUGACAGCCCAGCCAUGAAGAAGGCAGUGUCCCUCCUCUCCCUCACCACCCCCAACAGUAACCGGAAGCGUCGGCGCCUCAGGGACACGCUGGCUCAGCUCACCAAGGAGACAGAGAUCUCGCCCUUCCCUCCGCCACGCAAAAGGCCGUCAGCAGAGCACUCCCUGUCCAUAGGUUCUCUGCUGGACAUCUCUAAUACCCCUGAGACAUGCAAGGCCUUGGCAGAAGACAGAUUAGGGAACAGUUCAGAGAGCAGAGACAAUGCUGUGACCAGGAAUAUGAUAAGAAGAAGGAAAUCCAGAGAAAGCAGGAUUAGGACAGGUAGGGAAGAGAGGAGGAAAAGGUCCUACCUGGGGACAAGUACUCUUCUACAACAAGAGGGGGAGCAGCAGCAGCAGCCAGGAACUUCAGAGAGUUCUAAGCCAUCCAAGAGUUCCACUCCGGUUCCAUCCAGGCAGUCAGCCAGGUGGCAGGUCUCGAAGGAGCUCUACCAGACUGAGAGCAACUAUGUAGACAUUUUAAGCACCAUCCUACAGCUUUUCAAGCUUCCAUUGGAGAAAGAGGGGCAGGUGGGAGGACCCAUCCUUGCCCAAGAAGAAAUGAAGACCAUAUUUGGAAGCAUCCCAGAAAUCUACGAUGUUCACACUAGAAUAAAGAGUGACCUUGAGGAGCUCCUGACAGACUGGUCAGAUGACAGGAGUGUCGGAGAUAUCAUUCUCAAAUAUUCUUAUGAGCUGGUGAAGGCCUACCCACCCUUUGUCAACUUUUUUGAAAUGAACAAGGAGACAAUUGUUCGCUGUGAGAAACAAAAGCCACGCUUCCAUGCUUUUCUCAAGAUCAACCAGUCCAAGCCAGAGUGCGGCAGGCAGACACUGGUGGAGCUGCUCAUCAGACCUGUACAGAGACUCCCUAGUGUGGCCCUUCUUCUUAACGACAUAAAGAAGCAUACGCCAGAUGACAACCCAGACAAGAUAACACUGGAGAAAGCAAUCGAGUCUCUGAAAGAAGUCAUGACUCACAUCAAUGAGGACAAAAGGAAGACUGAAGGCCAGAAGCAGAUCUUUGAUGUUGUUUAUGAAGUUGAUGGCUGUCCUGCCAACUUGCUGUCCUCUCAUCGCAGUCUGGUGUACAGAGUAGAAACAAUUGCCCUGGGAGACCAGCCUUGUGACCGUGGAGAACAGGUCACACUCUUCCUCUUCAAUGACUGCCUUGAGAUUGCCAGGAAACGACACAAGGUGAUCAAUACAUUUAAAAGUCCGCUGGGACAGACGAGACCACCUGCCCCGCUCAAACACAUCACGCUGAUGCCGCUGUCCCAGAUUCGAAGAGUGCUGGACCUGCAGGACACGGAGGAGUGUGCGAAUGCAUUCGCCCUGGUGGUUCACCCUCCAACUGAACAGGAGAACUUGUUGUUCAGCUUCCAACUGACUGGAGAGGAAACAGUUAAAAGUGCCUGGCUGCGAACACUUUGCCGCCAUGUCGCCAACACCAUCUGCAGGGCUGAUGCGGAGGACCUGAUUCAGUGUACAGACCCAGACUCACUACAGGUCAGCACCAAGGAUAUGGACAGCACCCUGAGCAAAGCCUCCAGGGCCAUCAAGAAGACCUCCAAAAAGGUGACGAGGGCCUUCUCAUUCACAAAGACCCCGAAGCGUGUGAUCCAGAGGGCGUUCAUGGCCAGCAGUACUCCGGAUGAGAAAAGCCAGAGGCUGAGUUGUGAAAACCGCAUCGGCAGCAGCUCCACGCUGGCUAUGUCUCGCUCUGCCUCCACGUUCAGUUUGGGUGAUUCUGCCAAGAGCAGUGCUGUGGUGCAGCGCUCUAACUCUCUGGACCAUCCUGUUGUCAGAGCCAGGGUCCCUCUCUGUAUACGUACCCCCUGCAGCCCUACCCACAGCCCCGGCCCUAACCCUGCCCUUGAGUUCAGUCAAAGUCUCUGCCCCAGCUAUCACCCUAGUUCCCAAGAAUCCAAGCCCAUCCUUCAUGCUCCGUUAAUGUCCCAACCAGCACAAGCCCAGUCAGGCCUCUACACUUCCCAACAGUCCACUUCUUCAGCCCGUGGCUCCUCCGCCUUCAAUCCAGCCGUCAGAAACUCCACUCAGCUCAAAUCCAAAAACUCCCAUCCAAAAUCUAGCCUGCUUGUGUCCAAACACCUGUCCUCUGUAGGGUUCCAGCCAAGGUUCCCGGCUCCUCAGCCUGUUAAUGUCAUAGGCAGGACCUUUUCGGAGUCAUGCAGGGAUCCUCAAGUCCCAUCGGACCCACGCUUGGCUGCCCUGACCAGUCCUCGCAGGGAGACUCUGCUCUAAGCCAUCGCUAAUCUCUGACGGAGUCUGACUCGGCCAUAGACUGAGACUUUGAUGUACGGCCCACGGAGCAGCUAAAAGGCUGCUGUGACAGUGUUGUGAUCAACCCCUUUUCAUACACGCCAAUAAAAACACAUCUGGGUAAACGCACGCCAUUCACCCUCCAUGGUCAAUCUGCCUUCCAUGUUUGAGAGAAAGUACCACACAUUCAGUCGUUCCACCACCCACCUCUUCUGAGACACUGCUGCUGGGGAGCACCAGCACAAGUCCACCCAUCUUUUCACCUCCUUUGCCUUGACUGCCACUAACAGCAAGACCUGAGCAGACAGGUGUCUGCGUCUGAAGUUGAAGCUACCUGUAAAUUAUGGCAAACUAGCAUUUGUCCAAACUGGAGCUCCUCACAGACUCUCCAAGUCCAGAGAAAAUGGCAUUCAGGUCCAAGAAGGGUUAAAACCAUAAACCAAAUGUUCAUCAGCCUGGUGCAUUCAGCUAGAAGUGUUUUGUGUUGCUGAGAACUCGCACCUGACCAGGCAGUGUGGUGCGUCUUUCCAAACAUGCACAAUGCUUGAAUUAAGACUCAACUGGAACGGUACUGCACCGUGCUCGGGGCUACAGGUGUGUGGUUACCACUGUAACAUUUGCCUUACUCUUAAAAAAUGAAGGAUGCUCUGCUUUUGUCUGCAAUUGUUAAUCUGGACAUACGUCAUUAUUUUAAGUUUAGUGUUUAUACGUUGCCUGUUGAACACUAACUAUAGAUCAGUAAAUGUCUGUCCUCUGGGGACUUUGUGUGGCCCCAAAUGUCCCUGCGCUUAGGGAAAGUAAGAUAACAUUUAUUUUAAAUGUUCAGAUAUUUCUAUUUAACAAAUGCAGGUUGUUAAGCUCUUUUUGUGUUUUAUGUACUAGUUAAAGGUUGCCCUUACUCUGUGAGAGCUUUUUAUAUGAACCUUUAAUGUUUUAUUGUAGUGGGGUAGACGUCAUCACCUGAUAUAAUAUUUCUUGUUAUUAACCCACCUUCAACAUUUAAACUUAUGAUAGUUUCCAGCUUUUAUAAAGCUUCUAUUUUAUCAUUUAAGAGAUUCGGUUGAGAAGAAUAAAAGUUCUUAUGCUCGUCUACGUUUUUAAAUAUCUUUUUACUGUGUGUGUGUGUGUGUUUGUGUGUGAGGAGGAAUGCUGUGUUAGUGUACAUAUUUAUUAUUUUUUCACUUUCUAUUUAUGUUGUUUUCCACUUUUCUGUUUUUUCUUUAAUGCUGUUUUCAUUGCGCUUCAGUGUCUCCUGUUGUUUAAUCUCUGUAUUAAAUGCACUUAAACAUGUA